UGGGGAAUAUUGGACAAUGGGCGCAAGCCUGAUCCAGCCAUGCCGCGUGAGUGAUGAAGGCCUUAGGGUUGUAAAGCUCUUUCGCCGGUGAAGAUAAUGACGGUAACCGGAGAAGAAGCCCCGGCUAACUUCGUGCCAGCAGCCGCGGUAAUACGAAGGGGGCUAGCGUUGCUCGGAAUCACUGGGCGUAAAGCGCACGUAGGCGGAUCGUUAAGUCAGGGGUGAAAUCCUGGAGCUCAACUCCAGAACUGCCCUUGAUACUGGCGAUCUCGAGUCCGAGAGAGGUUGGUGGAACUCCGAGUGUAGAGGUGAAAUUCGUAGAUAUUCGGAAGAACACCAGUGGCGAAGGCGGCCAACUGGCUCGAUACUGACGCUGAGGUGCGAAAGCGUGGGGAGCAAAACAGGAUUAGAUACCCUGGUAGUCCACGCCGUAAAACGAUGGAUGCUAGCCGUUGGGGGGUUUACCUCUCAGUGGCGCAGCUAACGCCUUAAGCAUCCCGCCUGGGGAGUACGGUCGCAAGAUUAAAAACUCAAAGGAAUUGACGGGGUCAUAGCUGUUUCCU
rnacentral:rRNA from 1 species